GCCCGCUCAAGAACUCAAUAGAAUUGAGGGGGCCCGCACAAGCGGUGGAGCAUGUGGUUUAAUUCGAUGAUACGCGAGGAACCUUACCUGGGCUCAAAUGUAUGUUGACGUAUUCUGAAAGGGAUACUUCUUCGGACAAUAUACAAGGUGCUGCAUGGUUGUCGUCAGCUCGUGCCGUGAGGUGUCGGGUUAAGUCCCAUAACGAGCGCAACCCCUACCUUUAGUUGCCAUCAGGUAAUGCUGGGGACUCUAAAGGAACUGCCUACGCAAGUAGUGAGGAAGGCGGGGAUGACGUCAAAUCAGCACGGCCCUUACGUCCAGGGCUACACACGUGCUACAAUGGCCGAUACAGAGGGCAGCUACCUGGUGACAGGAUGCAAAUCUCCAAAGUCGGUCUCAGUUCGGAUCGGAGUCUGCAACCCGACUCCGUGAAGUUGGAUUCGCUAGUAAUCGCGCAUCAGCCAUGGCGCGGUGAAUACGUUCCGGCCUU
rnacentral:rRNA from 1 species